UACACCGUGUAUCAUCAGUACACCGGAUAUAGGUACUAACCAAGCGGGCAUGAUCGAUUUUGACCUUACAAGGUAACGAAGAUCUUUGUUUUGCUUUAUCAAUAUUCAAUGUACAUUUCUCAAAAUUUUAAAUUCCUGCUCCCAAAUAAUUUUUGCAUCGAUUUUUUCCUAUUCAUAAAACAACUUUGAUAUUCAAAUAAGAACAAUUAACUUGUUCAUGCGCAAAUAGUUGUGAAAGUCAACACCCACUUUCAAUUCGAUACAGUUGUUGAGACAUUUACAUGUUUUAUCUGAAAGAAACCUAAUACA
rnacentral:lncRNA from 1 species